AUGUCCACCGAGGCGCUGCUGGCCGCCCAAGGCGGCGGCGGCGGCGGCGGCGGAGGGGAGGUGGCGAGCCGGCGCCUGAGCAUCGACGACGCGCUGGCGGAGCACGCGGGGGAGUUCGGGCGGUGGCAGCUGCGGCACUUCGUGCUGGUGUCGGCGGCGUGGGCGCUGGAGGCGCUGCACACCAUGGUCAUCAUCUUCGCGGACCGGGAGCCGGCCAUGUCAUGCCCCGCGGGGGAGGGCCGGUGCGGCGACCGGUGCGCCGGCGCGGCGGCCGGGUGGGAGUGGGCGCAGGGGAGCGCGUCGUCGACGGUGGCCGAGUGGGGCCUGGUCUGCGGCGAGCGGUACAAGGUCGGCCUCGUCCAGGCCAUCUUCUUCGCCGGGUGCAUGAUCGGCGCCGGCGUGUUCGGGCACCUGUCAGACUCCUUCCUGGGCCGGAAGGGGUCCCUCCAGGUGGUCUGCUUCCUCAACGCGCUCUUCGGCCUGCUCACCGCGCUCGCCCCCAGCUACAGGGUCUACGUCGUCCUCCGCCUCCUCACGGGCUUCAGCACCGGCAGCAUCGGCCUCUGCGCCUUCGUCCUCGCCACGGAGCCCAUCGGGCCAUCCCGCCGUGGCACCGCCGGCAUGUCCAGCUUCUACUUCUUCUCCGGCGGCAUCGCGGCCCUAGCCGGCGUCGCCGCGAUGUUCCAGUCCUCCUGGCGCCUCCUCUACGUCGUCACCUCCCUCCCCUCCCUCGUCUUCGUGCUCGCCGUCAUGCCGUUCAUCUCCGAGUCGCCGCGCUGGUACCUCGUGCGACGGCGCACUGACGAUGCCAUGCGCGUCUUGCGCGACAUUGCGGCCACCAACGGCCGGCGCAUCCCGGACGGCGUCACGCUUAAGCUCGAUGAUGAGGGAGAUGAUGCUAACGGCGGCAAGCAGAUCGAGGAGUCGUCACCGUCGUCGUCGUCGGGAUCGAUCCUGGACGUGUUCCGGUCGAGGACGACGCGGGCGAGGCUAGUGCUGUCCGUGCUCAUCAACCUUCUCUGCUCGGUGGUGUACUACGGGCUGAGCCUCAACGUGGUCAACCUCAAGACCAACCUUUACGUCAGCGUCGCCGUGAACUCGAUCGCCGAGAUGCCCGCCUACCUGCUCACCGCGCUGCUCCUCGACCACUUCGGCAGGAAGCCACUCGGCAUCGGUACCAUGCUUCUCAGCGGCGUCUUCUGCAUCGCCGGCAGCCUCAUCGCUGGCGUCGGCGCCAUGAGGAUAGUGAGGAUGGUAUGCGGUGUGGUGGGCAUCUUUGGCAUGGCGGCGACGUACAACUUGUUGUUCAUAUACACGGCGGAGCUGUUCCCGACGGUAGUGCGGAAUGCGGCACUAGGUUGCACGUCACAGGCAUCACAGAUGGGUGCCAUACUGGCGCCCAUGGUGGUUGUGCUCGGGGAACGGGUGCCAUUCGCAGUGUUCGGCGUGUCGGGGAUCAUCGGCGGGCUGUUGGUGUUCUACCUCCCGGAGACGAUGAACAAGCCCUUGUAUGACACCAUGGCCGGCCUGGAGGAAGGAGAGAAGACCCCCUUGAAAUAA
rnacentral:rRNA from 1 species